rnacentral:rRNA from 1 species
CUCAGUAACACGUAGUCAACCUGCCCUGGAGACAUAGAUAACCCCGGGAAACUGGGACUAAUCUGUGAUAGGUCACCUCAUCUGGAAGGAGAGGUGGCCCAAAAGGGAAUCGUGGGCUUCCACUUUUCUUGCUCCAGGAUGGGACUGCGGCCGAUCAGGCUGUUGGCGGGGUAAUGGCCCACCAAACCUGUAACCGGUACGGGCCUUGAGAGAGGUGGCCCGGAGAUGGACACUGAGACAAGGGUCCAGGUCCUACGGGGCGCAGCAGGCGCGAAACCUUCGCAAUGCGCGAAAGCGUGACGAGGUUAAUCCGAGUGGCUUCCGCUGAGGAAGUCUUUUGCCGACUGUAAAAAGGUCGGAGAAUAAGGGGAGGGCAAGUCUGGUGUCAGCCGCCGCGGUAAUACCAGCUCCUCGAGUGGUCGGGGCGAUUAUUGGGCCUAAAGCAUCCGUAGCCUGUUCCGUAGGUCUCCUGCAAAAUCCAGUCGCUCAACGAUUGGCCCGCAGGAGAUACCGCGGGACUAGGAGGCGGGAGAGGUGGACGGUACUCCACGUGUAGGGGUAAAAUCCUUUGAUCCGUGGAAGA